UACCAUGUAGUAGAGGAUGACUUUGAACUUCUUGUCCUCCUGUCUCUAUGUUUGAACAGGCAUAUGCUUGAUCUUCGGCAGUGCAUAAAAGGUUUGAGCAUGAGAGCCAAGCGCUCUACCAACUGAGAGACAUCCCAGCCCUGCUGUGAGAACUCAGGUGAAGGAUUGGGGCAGAAGAUCCAUGGAUCAGGAUGCUAUGGCUUUUGCUGGCUUGCUGGUUUGAGUAUGGGUACGCAUUCAACAUGACUUCUGCCUUCAUGCUUGGCACCCUUCAGCCUUUCCCUAUGUGAAACGGAUUCUUCUGCUUAGAUCUCACCAAGAUGAGAAGGUUGGAAAGGGAAAGCUAUCCAAGGAUGCUGAAGGAGCACUGUGGCUGCUAGAGUGGUUGGCAGGACAUGUUGAUUCUGGGAGAAAGAAUGAGGUUGACCUGUAUCUUUCUCAGUGCCCUGAUGAUGGCAACAGGGAAGCUGUACUGGGCAUACGUUCCUGAGCCACCUUUGCUACCUCCUUCUGUAUAGUCAAGGCCAGAGUACUUGUUACCUCUAAUAACACUCAGCUGUGAAACUUCC